GAUCAUGGCUCAGAAUGAACGCUGGCGGCGCGCCUAAUACAUGCAAGUCGAGCGAGAAGACGUAGCAAUACGUUUGUAAAGCGGCGAACGGGUGAGGAAUACAUGGGUAACCUACCCUCGAGUGGGGAAUAACUAGCCGAAAGGUUAGCUAAUACCGCGUACGCUCCUUGGACUUCGGUUCAGGGAGGAAAGCGAUACCGUGGGUAUCGCGCUCUUGGAUGGGCUCAUGUCCUAUCAGCUUGUUGGUGAGGUAACGGCUCACCAAGGCUUCGACGGGUAGCUGGUCUGAGAGGACGAUCAGCCACACUGGCACUGCGACACGGGCCAGACUCCUACGGGAGGCAGCAGUAAGGAAUAUUGCGCAAUGGGCGAAAGCCUGACGCAGCGACGCCGCGUGGGGGAUGAAGGUCUUCGGAUUGUAAACCCCUUUCGGGAGGGAAGAUGGAAUGGGGUAACCCAUUCGGACGGUACCUCCAGAAGCAGCCACGGCUAACUUCGUGCCAGCAGCCGCGGUAAUACGAAGGUGGCAAGCGUUAUUCGGAUUUACUGGGCGUACAGGGAGCGUAGGCGGUUCGGUAAGCCCUUUGUGAAAUCUUCAGGCUUAACCUGGAAAAGUCGGAGGGGACUGCCGGGCUAGAGGACGGGAGAGGAGCGCGGAAUUCCCGGUGUAGCGGUGAAAUGCGUAGAGAUCGGGAAGAAGGCC
rnacentral:rRNA from 1 species